UACGGAGGAUGCAAGCGUUAUCCGGAUUUAUUGGGUUUAAAGGGUGCGUAGGCGGGACUGUAAGUCAGGGGUGAAAUACUGCAGCUUAACUGUAGCAUUGCCUUUGAAACUGCCGUUCUUGAGUACAGUUGAGGUAGGCGGAAUGUGGUGUGUAGCGGUGAAAUGCAUAGAUAUACCACAGAACGCCGAUUGCGAAGGCAGCUUACUAAGCUGUUACUGACGCUGAGGCACGAAAGCGUGGGGAUCAAACAGGAUUAGAUACCCUGGUAGUCCACGCUGUAAACGAUGAUUACUGGUUGUUAGCGAUAUAUAGCUAGUGACUGAGCGAAAGCAUUAAGUAAUCCACCUGGGGAGUACGUCGGCAACGAUGAAACUCAAAUGAAUUGACGGGG
rnacentral:rRNA from 1 species